CCUACGGGGGGCAGCAGUGGGGAAUAUUGCACAAUGGGGGAAACCCUGAUGCAGCGACGCCGCGUGAGUGAGGAAGUAUUUCGGUAUGUAAAGCUCUAUCAGCAGGGAAGAAGAUGACGGUACCUGACUAAGAAGCCCCGGCUAACUACGUGCCAGCAGCCGCGGUAAUACGUAGGGGGCAAGCGUUAUCCGGAAUUACUGGGUGUAAAGGGAGCGUAGACGGUUAAGUAAGUCUGGAGUGAAAGGCCGGGGCCCAACCCCGGGACUGCUCUGGAAACUAUUGAACUUGAGUGCAGGAGAGGUAA
rnacentral:rRNA from 1 species